AUUUAUCGCCGAAGGAGCGGCCCGCGUUGGAUUAGCUAGUUGGUGGGGUAAAAGCCUACCAAGGCAACGAUCCAUAGCUGGUUUGAGAGAACGACCAGCCACACUGGGACUGAGACACGGCCCAGACUCCUACGGGAGGCAGCAGUGGGGAAUCUUGGACAAUGGGGGAAACCCUGAUCCAGCCAUGCCGCGUGAGUGAUGAAGGCCCUAGGGUUGUAAAACUCUUUCGGCGGGGACGAUAAUGACGGUACCCGCAGAAGAAGCUCCGGCUAACUUCGUGCCAGCAGCCGCGGUAAUACGAAGGGGGCUAGCGUUGUUCGGAAUUACUGGGCGUAAAGCGCGCGCAGGCGGUUCUUCAAGUCAGAGGUGAAAGCCCAGAGCUCAACUCUGGAAUGGCCUUUGAGACUAGAGGACUAGGGUACGGGAGAGGUGAGUGGAAUUCCGAGUGUAGAGGUGAAAUUCGUAGAUAUUCGGAAGAACACCAGUGGCGAAGGCGGCUCACUGGCCCGUUACCGACGCUCAGGCGCGACAGCGU
rnacentral:rRNA from 1 species